GUUUCUGUAGUUAUCGUACUUUGUUUUCUUGCUGCUGAAACAAAACCUGGAUGGUCUUCGACUGUUUUUACUGUGGAACCAUGUCAAAUCUAACCUUUGUAAUAUUUAAAGAAAUCUAUUUUAUACAGAUAUUAACCCUGUGUAAUAAGUUGUGGCGCAGUGUCUGCGAUGGUUAAAAACCUUUUCUACUCUGUGUUUAUGAAAACCUGUAAAAGUGCUCGACUGUGUUGUUUGUUCAAAGGGAAGAAAAGCAUAUUAAGCUCAUUUCACGUGUGGACAGCUGACCACAGCAUGAGACACUUAUAUAUACACAUGUUAUUUUUUAUAUUCAUUUUAGCCAAAUUAGUAUUUAAAUUAGAGUUAUUGAAAUAUGUAUAUUGUACACCAGUAGAGGUAUAUACAGGAGUGCAUAUCCAACCAAAGGUCUGUACAGAUUUUCAUAAACAUUUCCUUUAAAAGAAAAUGAGUGAAAUUUGCAGCUGUUACCCUCGUUAUUGUAAGAUGCUUCUGAAAUGUUAUUUUCAUGUCCAGCCUGCAGGGUAUGGAUACUGCAUGCCAUGCUUGCUCUGUUGCAUUUGUGCGCUGUCUGUUGUUGUCCUGUCGUUGUGUGGUCUGUGUGAAUGAGAUGCUCUGCUUUGGAUUUGUGAUUCUCAGGAAAAUCCCCGUAUGCAUGGCUGCUCCAUGCCUCCUCUGGCCAAACAGACGGCAGCAGUACCACUUCUGUUUUGUUCAUUGGUCAAUCUUAAAAGGUUAGCGCCUGUGAUAUAAAAGUUUUGCUGAAACGUGUUUGAAAUCAAAGUAACGUUCCCACUGUGGCUGGUUUACUGGCAAAUACUCCAUUCGGGGCCAGUAACAAAACAGGUUUUAAGGUGGUGUUUGAAGUUUAGCAUAGCUAUUUAUGAAGCACUAGUACUAACAUCCUCAGCAGGUGUUACACACACAUAUAAAGCUGGAUAUCAUCAGCACAGAAGGUCAUGCAGCUGUAUUUUCAGAUAUUUGACUGUACAGGGCAAAUAAAGAGGACCCAGUAGGCUUCCCUGAGGAGUCCCCACAUUAACCAUAGUGCAUCUGUUAUGACAUGUCACCUUUUUAACAUUGUAGCAAUAAUUUUUAAGUCUUUCAUACAACCUGCUAUUGUCCAUCAAUGUUUUAUUUCACAGCUUAAAACAUGUUAGAAUCACUGAAACACGAUCUUCCAAAGUAAUCUCCAGAAACAGUGAAUAUGUAAUGUAAGUGUAGUGUGUUGUUGAGCUGGAUGAUGUGUGUGUGUGCGCUGCUGCUUUUGUUUGGUUGUUCUUUUGUCCUCUGAGCUGUUUGUGUAACCAUUAAAUAUACAUACUGUCCUG
ensembl:lncRNA